ensembl:lncRNA
UCUAGAGGUCGAAUGGAACUAGGCUGGUAUCUAAUCAUGUCUCAUCUCUCUGUCACAUGGAACUAGGCUGGUGUCUAAUCAUGUCUCAUCUCUCUCUCUCUGUCACAUGGAACUAGGCUGGUGUCUAAUCAUGUCUCAUCUCUCUCUCUGUCACAUGGAACUAGGCUGGUAUCUAAUCAUGUCUCAUCUCUCUCUCUCUGUCACAUGGAACUAGGCUGGUAUCUAAUCAUGUCUCAUCUCUCUCUCUCUGUCACAUGGAACUAGGCUGGUAUCUAAUCAUGUCUCAUCUCUCUCUAGAGGUCGAAUGGAACUAGGCUGGUAUCUAAUCAUGUCUCAUCUCUCUCGAGGUCACAUGGAACUAGGCUGGUAUCUAAUCAUGUCUCAUCUCCAUCUCUCUCUCUCUGUCACAUGGAACUAGGCUGGUAUCUAAUCAUGUCUCAUCUCUCUCUAGAGGUGACAUGGAACUAGGCUGGUGUCUAAUCAUGUCUCAUCUCUCUCUCUGUCACAUGG